GGGGGUGCCUCACUGUCCCCAUAUUUAAAGAUGCAGAAGCGAGCCUCAGAUGAAUACAGAGAGUCACUGUUAUGCGGCAGAGAAUAGAGCCUCUUUGCGUCACCCACCCGGGAUCCUGCGCCUUGACUUAAUAUGGGGAGGAGCUGGACAUUACCAAGACUGUGGUGGAGAUUAGGAUGCUGUCCAGACUUCGGUCCAUCUUGGACGAUGCUGCUCACCCCCUUGACAUUGCUGUGGCUGGACAGAAAAGCACAUUUAUUCCUAGAGUCCUCAACAUAAAAUGCUCCACUGGGCACCUCAGGAAAUCAUUCCUUCUAACGACCAUCUGAUCAUACAACCAGUGAAUCACUCCUGUCACAAGUGCAAUAUUUCUGUUAAUACCUAUUUAUCUUUGUGCAAUAUUGACCAGAAAACAUGUUUUGUUACCACAGUACAGAACCUAGUUUCCAUAUCACCUACUUAAUCUAUUACCAUCUUUAUACAUUAAUUAAUUUAUUUUUAUAUAGCAAUUGUUGCG